GGAUGUGAGGGCGAUCUGGCUGCGACAUCUGUCACCCCAUUGAUCGCCAGGGUUGAUUCGGCUGAUCUGACUGGCUAGGCGGGUGUCCCCUUCCUCCCUCACCGCUCCAUGUGCGUCCCUCCCGAAGCUGCGUGCUCGGUCGAAGAGGACGACCAUCCCCGAUAGAGGAGGACCGUUCUUCAGUCAAGGGUAUACGAGUAGCUGCGCUCCCCUGCUAGAACCUCCAAACAAGCUCUCAGGGAUCUAGGAUGUUUUCAUCUUCUGGCUGUAAGGUUGCCAUGUGUGAGAGGGGAAGAAGGAAUGUGGAUAGGAGUCACUUUCUAAGUAACUA
rnacentral:snRNA from 1 species